UAUCACUUAGGGAGAAGGGUAUAGGGC
rnacentral:piRNA from 2 species